rnacentral:tRNA from 1 species
GGAGAGGUGCCGGAGCGGCUGAACGGGGCGGUCUCGAAAACCGCUGUCGGGGUAACCCGACCGGGGGUUCGAAUCCCUCCCUCUCCGCCA